UACGUAGGGUGCGAGCGUUGUCCGGAAUUAUUGGCGUAAAGGGCUCGUAGGCGGUUUGUCGCGUCGGGAGUGAAAUCAUCUGGCUUAACUGGGUGCUUGCUUUCGAUACGGGCAGACUAGAGGUAUGCAGGGGAGAACGGGAAUUCCUGGUGUAGCGGUGAAAUGCGCAGAUAUCAGGAGGAACACCGGUGGCGAAGGCGGUUCUCUGGGCAUGACCUGACGCUGAGGAGCGAAAGUGUGGGAGCGAACAGG
rnacentral:rRNA from 1 species